rnacentral:rRNA from 1 species
GACGAAGGAUGCAAGCGUUAUCCGGAUUCAUUGGGUUUAAAGGGAGCGUAGGUGGUCUUAUAAGUCAGUGGUGAAAUCCCCGAGCUUAACUUGGGAACUGCCGUUGAUACUAUCUGUCUUGAAUAUCGUGGAGGUGAGCGGAAUAUGUCAUGUAGCGGUGAAAUGCUUAGAUAUGACAUAGAACACCAAUUGCGAAGGCAGCUCGCUACACGAAUAUUGACUCUGAGGCACGAAAGCGUGGGGAUCAAACAGG